GUGCGAGCGUUGUCCGGAAUUACUGGGCGUAAAGAGCUCGUAGGUGGUUUGUCGCGUUGUUCGUGAAAUCUCACGGCUUAACUGUGAGCGUGCGGGCGAUACGGGCAGACUAGAGUACUGCAGGGGAGACUGGAAUUCCUGGUGUAGCGGUGGAAUGCGCAGAUAUCAGGAGGAACACCGGUGGCGAAGGCGGGUCUCUGGGCAGUAACUGACGCUGAGGAGCGAAAGCGUGGGGAGCGAACAGGAUUAGAUACCCUGGUAGUCCACGCCGUAAACGGUGGGUACUAGGUGUGGGUUUCCUUCCUUGGGAUCCGUGCCGUAGCUAACGCAUUAAGUACCCCGCCUGGGGAGUACGGCCGCAAGGCUAAAACCCAAAGGAAUUGACGGGGGCCCGCACAAGCGGCGGAGCAUGUGGAUUAAUUCGAUGCAACGCGAAGAACCUUACCUGGGUUUGACAUGCACAGGACGCGUCUAGAGAUAGGCGUUCCCUUGUGGCCUGUGUGCAGGUGGUGCAUGGCUGUCGUCAGCUCGUGUCGUGAGAUGUUGGGUUAAGUCCCGCAACGAGCGCAACCCUUGUCUCAUGUUGCCAGCGGGUAAUGCCGGGGACUCGUGAGAGACUGCCGGGGUCAACUCGGAGGAAGGUGGGGAUGACGUCAAGUCAUCAUGCCCCUUAUGUCCAGGGCUUCACACAUGCUACAAUGGCCGGUACAAAGGGCUGCGAUGCCGUAAGGUUAAGCGAAUCCUUUUAAAGCCGGUCUCAGUUCGGAUUGGGGUCUGCAACUCGACCCCAUGAAGUCGGAGUCGCUAGUAAUCGC
rnacentral:rRNA from 1 species